GAAAAAUCAAUCUUCUGCCUUUCAGGGAGCUGAAGGAGGAGGGACUCUUCACCAUCAGACACCUGGCUGGAUCCCAUUCAGAGGUCCUGCUUUGUAGACUUGGUGAGGUUUGCUUGGCAGUUACCAGCGAGGUGACCAACCUCCAUUCCAAGGUGUCCUGCUCUGCCAUUGUCACUCUGGGAGAGCUCUCUGUGACCUUGAAGAAGGACAUGGACUCUCAGGUGGAUGAGGUUGCUCGGGUCCUUCUCCAGAUGGUGUCCAACUCCCCAGAAUUUGUUCAGAAAGCAGCCAGUCAGACCCUGGGGAUCAUGGUGGAGAAUGUGACUCCUGCAUGAGCAAUGACUGCUCUCAUGGACAUGGGAGUCAAGCAGAUCUGGCUGGUUACAGUCCUACCGAGAAGUUUCCUUGGGAAGAACACAGUUUCCAUUGGAAGAACACUUCUGAUGUUCUCUCACCCACAAAGUCCUCGCCUCCCAUCCAGAAGAGCUCUCUUUCCUCCAAGCUCAGGAAGAAUCUGCCGCCUGUGUGAAGAGUGUUUGAAGAAUAGGAUUGAUGCGUUAGGCUUGAUAG